AUGUAUGAGGUGAACAUUCCUGUGCCGCCGAUCUAUCAUGAGGCUGAAAUUCAGAUGUGCCAUGGUGAUCAAGCUAAACCCUUAUUUCGGGUGGUCUUUGGGCGCUGUUUCCCUGCUGAACGAUCUUUUAAGCUUCAGCCAUCUUUAGUAAGAGGUGGUUGCUACUCUUAUGUUAUUAUGCUAGCAUUGCUUUAUUCUCUUGCCCAUAGCAAAGCCACAUGCCAGCUGGAGAGAUUGUGUGAUCUUCCUUCGCCAGGUGCUCAACAAGUUGCCUGGUAUGGUUAUUGUGGCUUUGCUAAUUAUGCUUCUUCCAAAUCAAGGUGCAAAUCUAGCAAUAUUCUCUUCACGUACCGAGUCACAUCCCAGCUGGAGGGAUACUGUUCUUUUAGAAGUUUUGCGUGA
rnacentral:rRNA from 1 species